GUAUUUUGUUGGUGGUUUCAAUUAUACAUGAGUUUGAACAUAUCUAAAUAUCGUUACCAUUUUAUGUCAUUAUGUUGUAUUUAUAGAUUAAUCGGUUCAGUUAGUGAUAGAAGACAAUCAGCAGUUAUACAGGAUGAAUUGUUCAGCUCUCCAAUCCUUAAGAGUUCAGCCUUUCAUCACAUCUGUCAUUUGGCUAAUGCUCAGGCUGCUUAAAAUAUUCCUCUCAGGUCUGCAUGUCCUUAAGAGCUUCUCCUUUUCACUUUGCACUCUUUAGUUUCCAAUGAAUGAUGUCACAGUGUUGCCAUGGAUACCAUUUUGGACCUUUGAUACACAGCAGGUGAAAACAGUUCCUGUUGUUACCCAUGUGUCAGGGCUCUGGGGACAAGCUGAGCUACUUACAAACACAAAAAGACAAACAGUUGCACAUUUUCUCUUUUGAAAGCUUGUAGCGUUUUCGGUCUGAUGAUUGAUUGCUACGAUACAUAAUGUUCAGUCGUGUGUCCGCCUUAAAUCUAUUUACUGCUUGUUUGACAUGUUGACACUGCCACCAGGAACUUAAAUUUCACCUUUAAUGUAAUCACACUGUUUCUCUCUCCCUACACAAGAAAAAAGCAGAACAGGUUUUUACACUAGUGAGAAUGAGUUUUUCGUGUCUUUGUCUAAAGAAACAAUGAAAUUCUUGUUGUUCGAGCUCAUUGUGGCAUUGUACCGGAUUCAGACCUGUUUUAAAUUUGGCUACGAUGUUUAAACGAGUAAUUUUUCACACUUGAGAUUCUCUGUUCUCCACGGUAACCUCAAUCAGUAUUGUGCAUUACUUCACAACCUCUGUAGGUGUGCUGGGUGUGGCCUUGCUGAUUCAGUGCCUCGAGACUGGGUGUUCUCAAAGUUUGCUGUGUUUGUGUUGGGCAGGGUUGACAAGCUGCCUGAGUUGGAGACGAAAACAUCCAAGUGGCGUUACCCAGAAGGCAGAGUUCUGCGACACCACCCCAAGCUAAACACUUACACCCUGACGUUAGAGGAUUUGCCAGGGAGUCCCCCACCUAGCCUUCAGUGUGAUGUGGAGGAGCUCCAAUGCCUCAUUCAGUCACAUCAGAAGGAAGAUCCUCCGCCACAGCAUAAGCCAGCACUGCUGAUUCUUAACCCGAACUCCACUGAUAGAACAGAGCCUGUUGACUGCCUACCGGUCAAUUCACUGGAACCUGAGCAUCAGGAACCCAACUCUGAAAAAGAAGAAACCUGUGAAUCGAACAGCUUUGCUGUUGAGGAUGGACUGUGUAUUCAUCAAAACGGCACAGGAGAUCAUGUCCAAUCACAGGAUGGGGAGGUGGAGCUUGACCCGCCAGCUGUAGGAGACAUUGGGAAGGCGUCAGAUAAGGCUGACUGUUCGCAGAAGCGGGUAGAAGGCGAUUCUGUGACUUUCAGUGCCCCUUCCUGUGGAAACCAGCGGGAGGAAGCUGAUAUAGAACUCUGCGUAAUCAGUGCCAAACAGG
ensembl:lncRNA